rnacentral:rRNA from 1 species
AAAGUACUUUCAGCAGUGAGGAAGGAGGUAUCGUUAAUAGCGGGUAUCUUUUGACGUUAGCUGCAGAAGAAGCACCGGCUAACUCCGUGCCAGCAGCCGCGGUAAUACGGAGGGUGCGAGCGUUAAUCGGAAUUACUGGGCGUAAAGCGCAUGCAGGUGGUUUGUUAAGUCAGAUGUGAAAGCCCGGGGCUCAACCUCGGAAUUGCAUUUGAAACUGGCAGGCUAGAGUACUGUAGAGGGGGGUAGAAUUUCAGGUGUAGCGGUGAAAUGCGUAGAGAUCUGAAGGAAUACCGGUGGCGAAGGCGGCCCCCUGGACAGAUACUGACACUCAGAUGCGAAAGCGUGGGGAGCAAACAGGAUUAGAUACCCUGGUAGUCCACGCCGUAAACGAUGUCUACUUGGAGGUUGUGGCCUUGAGCCGUGGCUUUCGGAGCUAACGCGUUAAGUAGACCGCCUGGGGAGUACGGUCGCAAGAUUAAAACUCAAAUGAAUUGACGGGGGCCCGCACAAGCGGUGGAGCAUGUGGUUUAAUUCGAUGCAACGCGAAGAACCUUACCUACUCUUGA